GACGUAGGGCGCGAGCGUUGUCCGGAAUUAUUGGGCGUAAAGAGCUCGUAGGCGGCCUGUUGCGUCCGCUGUGAAAGCCCGGGGCUUAACCCCGGGUCGGCAGUGGAUACGGGCAGGCUAGAGGUAGGUAGGGGAGAAUGGAAUUCCCGGUGUAGCGGUGAAAUGCGUAGAGAUCGGAAGGAACGCCGGUGGCGAAAGCGGCCCGCUGGACCUGCCCUGACGCUGAGGCGCGAAAGCCAGGGGAGCAAACGGG
rnacentral:rRNA from 1 species